ACGGGAGGCAGCAGUAGGGAAUCUUCGGCAAUGGACGAAAGUCUGACCGAGCAACGCCGCGUGAGUGAAGAAGGUUUUCGGAUCGUAAAACUCUGUUGUUAGAGAAGAACAAGGAUGAGAGUAACUGUUCAUCCCUUGACGGUAUCUAACCAGAAAGCCACGGCUAACUACGUGCCAGCAGCCGCGGUAAUACGUAGGUGGCAAGCGUUGUCCGGAUUUAUUGGGCGUAAAGCGAGCGCAGGCGGUUUCUUAAGUCUGAUGUGAAAGCCCCCGGCUCAACCGGGGAGGGUCAUUGGAAACUGGGAGACUUGAGUGCAGAAGAGGAGAGUGGAAUUCCAUGUGUAGCGGUGAAAUGCGUAGAUAUAUGGAGGAACACCAGUGGCGAAGGCGGCUCUCUGGUCUGUAACUGACGCUGAGGCUCGAAAGCGUGGGGAGCAAACAGGAUUAGAUACCCUGGUAGUCCACGCCGUAAACGAUGAGUGCUAAGUGUUGGAGGGUUUCCGCCCUUCAGUGCUGCAGCUAACGCAUUAAGCACUCCGCCUGGGGAGUACGACCGCAAGGUUGAAACUCAAAGGAAUUGACGGGGGCCC
rnacentral:rRNA from 1 species